rnacentral:rRNA from 1 species
UGCUGGCUCCUCCUUGGGGAGGGGUAUGUGCACGCUUGCCAUCUUUAUCUCUCCAACUGUGCACAUAUUGUAGGCCUGGAGGUUGUGUUUUUAUUUGCUCAAAUAGAUUGAGGACUGCUGUUGCUUUCCUUGUAUAAUUUCCAGGUCUAUGUUAUCCUCACAUACAAUCUCAAUGUGUUUUAGAAUGUUGAAUUGGGUCUUUUGUACCUAUAAAAGUUAUAAAUACAACUUUCAGCAACGGAUCUCUUGGCUCUCGCAUCGAUGAAGAACGCAGCGAAAUGCGAUAAGUAAUGUGAAUUGCAGAAUUCAGUGAAUCAUCGAAUCUUUGAACGCACCUUGCGCUCCUUGGUAUUCCGAGGAGCAUGCCUGUUUGAGUGUCAUUAAGUUCUCAACCACACCAUUUCUAUGGUUUGGCUUGGAUAUGGGGUUUGCAGGCUUUUUGAAAAUGAAGUCUGCUUUCCUGAAAUUUAUUAGUGGUAUCUGAGCAGAAAACUACCACAGGUGUGAUAAUUAUCUAUGCCUUGGUAUGCUGCAUGAAACAGAUUACACUGCUUCUAACAAAGUUGAAGCCCCCUGGGCAUGAACAUUUUGACAAAUUUGACCUCAAAUCAGGUAGGACUACCCGCUGAACUUAAGCAUAUCAAUAAGCNGAGGANGGGCGG